rnacentral:tRNA from 1 species
AGCCCGGUCGUCUAGUGGCCAAUCUCCCAGGUAGAAAACCUGGAGACAGCAGUUCGAAUCUGCUCCGGGCUACCA